rnacentral:rRNA from 1 species
AGAAUCAACGCUGGCGGCGUGCCUAACACAUGCAAGUCGCACGAGAAAGGGGAGCAAUCCCUGAGUACAGUGGCGCACGGGUGAGUAACACGUGAAUAAUCUACCUCCGAGUGGGGAAUAACUGAGAGAAAUCUUAGCUAAUACCGCAUAAUACCCACGGGUCAAAGCAGCAAUGCGCUUGGAGAGGAGUUCGCGGCAGAUUAGUUAGUUGGCGGGGUAAUGGCCCACCAAGACGAUGAUCUGUA